CAGUUGACUAGCUUCUUCUUCCGAUUAUCUUCGAGUCAUUGCCCUAGUGUCGUGGCUAUCCUUUCAGCCACAAGAAGAUCCAUUGCUACGGAAACCCCAUUUUGUGCUGGAUCUGUUCCACCAUCAUAGACCGGUGAUUCUUGAGGCUGCGAGGGUUGUUGGAUAGAUUUACCAUCGACGAAAGAGUCAAUAACUGUUGAUAUGGGUAAUAAACUGAAUUUGAUUAGAUUAAUGAGCUGGUUAAUCUAUCCUUAGCUGAUAGUGUUGAAUUAAAGUUGUUCAUGUAGAAUUGAAUCCAUUCUAUCUGUGUAGUUGUGGUUAAUUAGGGGUUAGUGAUGGAUUGGUUGAUUAUUGAUGAUUGGUGCUAGGAUUUGAUUGUAAAUGAAUUAAUGGAAUAAUGAUAAUUAAGAAGUUAAGAAAUUCAAGGAUUAAAUGAUUGGAUUAAUUGAUGAUUCAUGUGUAAACAUAAUCUAAUUAGGUUGAAGUAUAAUUAAGAUUGAUUGGGUGAGAGAGUCAUUAGUGACCAUUGGUAUAUACCCGGUCUACCCAAGGGACCAUCCGUGGUAGAGCGUUCUCCCACAAAUAGUGACUAGUUAUUUACCCUGUCCGCCCACAAGACCAUCCGUGAUAGAGCGUUCUCCCGUGGACAGUAACUAGUUAUUUACCUUGACUGCCCACGUGACUAUCCGUGGUAGAGCGUUUCUUCUGCAGUCAGUAUUUGCUAUAUGUCGGUCAUGUAUUUGUUCAUGCACGUUUUGGAUGUACUGUAUAUACUUCAGAUUUGUUGAUUAUACUUAGUUGAGCAUAUUAGUGAAGUGCUAUAUUAUUGAUUAUACUUUUAGUUAGUUGAUGAUUAUGUUAGGACAUCUACGCUGGUUAGUAAGUAUUUUACUUGAGACUGUAUCUUUUGAUCUCCUGUCAAUAUAUUAUUCAUGCACUAUCUUCUUCUAUCCACUGAGUGGUUGUACUCACUACCUUUUAUUUUUUCCUUGACUUUUAGGUUAGCAGAUAGAGGAAGUGUUGUGUCACUCAGAGGUACUGGCUGCCACUCCUGCUCGUUGGAUUUAUAUUGAGUUGCUUCAUUUUAUUGUUUCUGUUGUCUAUAGUUAUUGUUCCUUCUGUUCUGGAUUUUUUAUUGUUUCACAUGUACAUGCAUUCAUUCAUAUAUUGUCAUUUGUAACUUGGUGUUGUUAUAUUGCA